rnacentral:lncRNA from 7 species
AGUGCCGUGCAGGCAACGCCUGGGGCGGGGGCGUGAGGGCUGAGGCUGCGUACUGCGCUCAUCAGAUUUAUUGCUUUUCUCUAACAUGAGAGAAUAGUUGUAUAACUUCUUUGGAGCUGCAUGGGCCUACCAGCCUUCCAGAUUAUGGACUCCAGACCCCAGAUGAGGCUUCUGUAAUGGAGCUGUGAAUCAAACAUUGCUGUUGAUGUGGAUGCUCCGUCUUAACCCUCUUCUUGCUCCUGUCCAUUUGUGACCUUGAAGUCGGUCUUCAGUUUUUCAGCAAAGCAGACUCUUCAUUGUGGUUUCUAGUGUGGAAUAGAUAAAUUAUAUCUGAAGUCUUCCGAGUUUUGCAAGCCUCUGACGGGUGUGGAUCCUGGCUCCAGUUAGACUGAAUGAUUCAGAAAAAAAAUGUCAGUCUCCUAGAAGAACACAGAAUAUAUUUUUAAAGGGAAACUCUGUGCCUGAAAGUCAUAGAUCAGACAGAGAAAUCUCAUCUAGUUGCUCCUGUGUUGAGGCAGCAUUAAGCUAUACCUGUUAGGUAUUAUUCACCUACACUCCCUAACUGGGUGGACCUGCUCUGUCAAAAGCAUGUUUGGCCUGCUUUACUCAGAGGAGCAGAAUACUUUGGCUGGCUGAGGCUGGGGAAAGGAUGAGCUGAAAUCGCUUGCUUACUGCUUUCUUCUAUUACAGUUUCAUGCAGCCCGAUGCACGUGUCAGACCAGUCCACUGUGGUGGCUAACCCUACCCAGGAUCCUGCACAGGAUAGUACGUAGUAAAAGACGAAGAAAAAAGAAAACGAAACACCAUUCCUGAUUUGGGUUCCAGUAGGCAGUUCAUGACUGUGAGUGCUCAGUUGUCUUGCACUUGGGUGAAACAACUUUAGGAGAGCAAACUCUGGAGUUCAUGCCCAGAAGUGUAAUUGUGGUAGCCAGUAAGCCUCAAUUUUCUCAGAGCACAAAGCCUGCAGCAUCUGGAGGUGGGCAGUACUGAAUUGCUCUGCAGUUUACUUGCAGCAGCGGGAGCCUGGGCUUAGUGACCAAGUCUUAAGUACUGGUGGCUUAGGAAUUUGUAUUAAAAAAGCAUCAUAGGGAUUCUUAAAUUUCUGGUUCCUUCAUAAGUGCAGGUAUACUCCAAUGAGAUCAGCAGACAACUUCUUGAAGUCUGAAACUAUUUUGCUAUUAUUGUCAUUGUUCAAUAUGAUUCUUACCUUCCUGUGAUGUAAACUUGUAGUAAAUUCACAAACUAUUUUGUAAAGAAAAUAAAAUAGCUGCUAUUUUCCAG